rnacentral:tRNA from 1 species
GAGCCUGUAGCUCAGCUGGAUAGAGCGUUUGCCUCCGAAGCAAAAGGUCGUGGGUUCGAAUCCCGCCAGGCUCA